GCUCGGAUGGCGAAAUGGUAGACGCGCUGGUUCGAGGGGCCAGUGGCCGCAAGGCUGUGGAGGUUCAAGUCCUCUUCCGAGCACCA
rnacentral:tRNA from 1 species